AUACGUAGGGUGCGAGCGUUGUCCGGAAUGAUUGGGCGUAAAGGGCGCGUAGGCGGCGCGGUAAGUCUGGAGUGAAAGUCCUGCUUUCAAGGUGGGAAUUGCUUUGGAUACUGCCGCGCUUGAGUGCAGGAGAGGUUAUCGGAAUUCCCGGUGUAGCGGUGAAAUGCGUAGAGAUCGGGAGGAACACCAGUGGCGAAGGCGGGUAACUGGACUGCAACUGACGCUGAGGCGCGAAAGUGUGGGGAGCAAACAGGAUUAGAUACCCUGGUAGUCCACACUGUAAACGAUGAAUGCUAGGUGUAGGGGGUAUCGACCCCUUCUGUGCCGCAGUCAACACAAUAAGCAUUCCGCCUGGGGAGUACGGCCGCAAGGUUGAAACUCAAAGGAAUUGACGGGG
rnacentral:rRNA from 1 species